GACGAACGCUGGCGGCGUGCUUAACACAUGCAAGUCGAACGGAAAGGCCCUGCUUUUGUGGGGUGCUCGAGUGGCGAACGGGUGAGUAACACGUGAGUAACCUGCCCUUGACUUUGGGAUAACUUCAGGAAACUGGGGCUAAUACCGGAUAGGAGCUCCUGCUGCAUGGUGGGGGUUGGAAAGUUUCGGCGGUUGGGGAUGGACUCGCGGCUUAUCAGCUUGUUGGUGGGGUAGUGGCUUACCAAGGCUUUGACGGGUAGCCGGCCUGAGAGGGUGACCGGCCACAUUGGGACUGAGAUACGGCCCAGAAUCCUACGGGAGGCAGGAGGGGGGAAUAUUGCACAAUGGGCGGAAGCCUGAUGCAGCAACGCCGCGUGCGGGAUGACGGCCUUCGGGUUGUAAACCGCUUUCGACUGUGACGAAGCGUGAGUGACGGUAAUGGGUAAAGAAGCACCGGCUAACUACGUG
rnacentral:rRNA from 1 species